UCUAUAAAAACACCUAAAUAUCUUGUUUUUGUUGCAGGUGAGAUUCUAAUUGUAUGACCCUGGCUUUCUAAUUUCAGAUAAUCGAAAGAUGGGGAAACUGACUUAUUGCAUGUAAAAGGCAAGUAGUAGUAGUCUUUUCCAGGUUGUCAAUAGUUUGUAACUGAACCAAUCUUUUACAUUCCACAGUUUCUUUCAGUUCGUCCCAAGUGUUACCUUUAUGGAAGAUAGCUGUAUUGUCUGCAAAGCCUAUAACCUCUCCACUACUUCUAGAAGCAUAGGAUGACUAACAGUGUCAAAGGCUUUGGUAAGGUCAAUGAAAAUGCACAAGCAAGGCUGGCCUUUAUCUAGAGCAGAGGAGACAUUAUUUGUGAGCGUUAUGGUAGCAUCUUGGGUGGACGUAUGUUCCUUAAAACCAUAUUGUUUUUGUGAAAGUAACUUAUAUUUAUUUAAAAAAGAUGUUAUUCUUAUUUUAAAAAUUUUUUCAAAUAUUUUACAGAAAUUUGUUAUUAAAGAAAUGGGCUUAUAGUUAGUUGAUAAUGCACUAUUUCCUUUUUUAAAAAUAGGAGUAACCACAGAGUUUUUCAAUGCAGAUGACCAAGUACCAGUUUUUAUGCACUCAUUUAUAAUGUAUACUAUUGGCUCAGUAACAAACUCCACAAUAUGUUUAAUUACCUCUGACUUCAGGUUGUCAAUUCCAGGAGAUUUUUUAUUUUUUAAAUUUAGUAUAAUGUCUUUGACUUCUUGGUGAUCUGUGGGCAGUAAAACUAGCGAAUUUAGUGAAUAAAUACCUCUAAAAGCAACCAA